rnacentral:piRNA from 1 species
GAGAAUAGCAUCCAGAAUGCUGAGAGAGGAGA